rnacentral:rRNA from 1 species
GACAGAGGGUGCAAACGUUGUUCGGAAUUACUGGGCGUAAAGCGUGUGUAGGCGGCUAAGCAAGUCGGAUGUGAAAGCCCCGGGCUCAACCCGGGAAGUGCACUCGAUACUGCAGAGCUUGAGUAUCGGAGAGGUUGGUGGAAUUCUCGGUGUAGAGGUGAAAUUCGUAGAUAUCGAGAGGAACAUCGGCGGCGAAGGCGGCCAACUGGACGAAUACUGACGCUGAGACACGAAAGCGUGGGGAGCAAACAGG